GACCCUCUUCCUGUGUCCCUACAAAAGGCCCGGACAAUGCGGUCCCAGCCCUGCUGUGGGACACGGGCGGGGCCCCACCUUCCUCCUUCCUGCAGGGAUAUCCUUUCCUAUAGAAGAGAUGUAUCCGCCACCACCAGAAGUUGGGGACAUUUCCGCUCACCCCCGAAACGAAUGUGUUCUGCGUUUACAACAAAUGACAUCUUUCAAAGUUGGCCAUAAAUCAAAGUUAAGUGAA